GGAGGAAGAGAAACGUAGGAGAGAAGAAGAGGAAAGGCUUCGACGGGAGGAAGAGGAAAGGAGACGGAUAGAAGAAGAAAGGCUUCGGUUGGAGCAGCAAAAGCAGCAUUACAGAAACAACAGGAAGUAGUAGUGGCUGGGUCUUCCUUGCCUACAUCAUCAAAAGUGAAUGCAACUGUACCAAGUAAUAUGAUGUCAGUUAAUGGACAGGCCAAAACACACACUGACAGCUCCGAAAAAGAACUGGAACCAGAAGCUGCAGAAGAAGCCCUGGAGAAUGGACCAAAGGGUAGG
rnacentral:sRNA from 1 species